rnacentral:lncRNA from 1 species
GGAGGAGGCACACCUACGCUGGACCCCGAGGGUCUUAAUCCAUCGAUCCUGCCACCUCUUGUCUGCACCUUCCAUAUCUUUCCCCAAUAGAAUCUCUUCCAAUAGCAAGGAAAUGAAUUCAAGUCUCUCUGGAAUGUUGUCUAUGGCACCAGAGCGUGGCCACAGGUCAAAGGCACUCAUUUGCAAUAUUCAAGUCUCUGGGGACACGGGAGCCUUCCAAUCCUUCACCCUCCUUCAGCCAGGCCCACCGAGGACACUCCGCUGAUCAAGCCAGCCUGGGGUCCUGUCACCUCUCUUUAAGGCUGGGGGAAUCUGGGUCCAGGAGUUCCUGACUUUCUGGUCUUUGGGUCCUGCCCAGCCCUGAGCCCUCCACGCCCCCAGGACAAGACACCAACUCAGAUCCC